CCAAUCAAAAGACAUGUGGUCGGGACGACCGAUAUUCUUCAGCUAAUUGGACUGUCUGAUAAUGGGCGUUCGAUUGAACCAGACGAUACUGGGUGGCCGGUAAGACCUGCCUCUUUUGGGCAACCAAAUCCACAAACACCAAGCAAAAUCUACUCCUAGGACUAGCUAAGAAAGAAAACACAAGGGUUUUAGAAAAUCUAACCAACGCGAAGGUUGUAGAUGUGUUUCUUCUAGUGGGAUGAUGUUUUCCUAACAGUAGGUGAUAAGACAAAAUUUUGGCGAGGUUUCGGCGAAGCUCCAACGAGAUUCGCUCCACCCUUCUCCAAGGAAUGAAGAAGCUCUUCGAGUGGUAGAAGAGAUAAUGAAGCUCCGGCGAGGUUCGAAGCUCUGACGAUCCUUUCCCAAGCUAGAAUGAACCUCUCCUUUAGCGUAGGAGAAGAGACACCUUGCUCUUUGCUAGCCGCAAUCCUCCUCAAAAAGCUCCUCACACACUCUAAGAAUGGUGGAGAAAGAAAAAGGAGGCGACGAAGAAAAGAGGAGUAAGAAGGUAAAUAAGAAUAAGGGGAUUCCUCAAAUUCGUUUGCUCCAAGAGAUUUUCUCCGAGGCACCUCCAACGUGUCCAAGAGGAAGAUGAAGUUCCUCUUGUGCUCUCCCUAAGCUCUCCUAACUAGCCCAAGUAUGAAAAUGAGAGGAGAUAUGAGUUUAAACCAGCUCAAAAAAAUGAUUUUGAUGGGUCAUGAGGAGUAUGUGUCACAUAUUUAAGUAUUUCCUUAGAGCAAUUGCCAUUUUGUUGGUAUUCAUCUUAAAAAAUGACUAAUUUACCUUUUUUUUUAUAACUAGGCUUUUUCAAAUGAUGCUGCUUAUUUGAAUAAAUCAAUUGUAAAUUAUAUGGAGUUGGAAAAUGUUUGUCGUGAAAGUCAGACUAUUGGAAACUCGGCUAAAUCUCAGAACUCUAAUAUUCCAAUUGGGACACAACAGAAUAAAUUGGAAGAUGAUGACUUCUUAGGUUUAUUGAGACAUAUGCAAAUGCAACACAAACUACUAAUAUUUCAGAUGUUUAUUGAAAAAGUUGCUAAAAAGGGGGGUGUUCUAUAAAAGAAGAAGAAAGUGUUUGCGGUUAAUCAAAGUCUUGGGAGUGCAUUGUCAUGAUGGCAGAUUGUGCUGGUAAGGCUGCUACCAUAAUCAAGAGCAGGACAACAUAUACUAAGGAAAGAAAAUCUUUUACAGAACUUAUGACAGAGCUUUCAAAUAUUCAAGAAUCUUACAAUGGCUCGUUCACAAUCCAAAGCUCAAUGUAAAAUGAAGGAAUUAGAUAAAUGGGUCUCACGAGCCAGAUAUAUUAGUAGAUUAGUUACUCUAACAAUUUUAUAUUUUGAAAUUUUGAGACUCAUUUUGAUCUCAAUGAUUGAAUUAUCAUAUUUGUAAAACUUUAAGUUUUGAUAGCAUUUGAUGUAUUUUGAACAUCUUUAUUGACUAUUUCUCACCUUAGCCGCACGGGACACAUAAAGUCAAGUAUUGAGACAAGAUUUCAUCUUAUGAGCUACUGUACUGUGAAAUUUUUUCAUAUUCUUACUAUUGCAUCAUGGAUUUGUCUCUUAAUUUGUUGGGCAUCCACUUUUAUGACUAUAAUGAUGUGCAGGUUUUAUGAAUGGAUUAAAGCAAAAUUUAGAGUUAAUUUUUACACCAUUAUUUUCCAAAAAUGGAUCCUAUGUUUUUAAUUUAUGCAAUCCUUAUUAUGCAGGUCUUUAAUCAUGUAUGGUUGAAAAAUGCUAAUGAAUUUGUUAGUACUUAUGUCUAUUCCCAAAAUCAAAUAAUUGUAUGGCGAUAUCCGUCGAUGUCAAAGACAAUUGUCACCGGAGCAGAAGAUGAAAUGCUCAGGUUUUGGAAUGGUUUCUCCUCUCCAAACUAUCAGGCUGGUGAUGUUGCUGCAACACUGUUUACUGGGACAUCAAUGAUUUUAUACCAUAUAAAUUAACAAACAAAGAGUUUUAGGGAGUGUUUGGGGGGCGGCCGGCGGUGAGAGCACCGAGAACGAGAUCAGAGCUUUCUCUCCUGGAAGAACCGAGAUUACGUGACAAUUGGAUUCUGCUACUGUUCAAACUCUAUAUAGAAAUUGUCAUCAAAUGAAACAAUCGAUUCCACUCGAUCGGCUGAAGGUUCACAAGAAUCUGUUCAAGUUUUGAUCUUCAAUAAAACAUUUGG